GAGGUGCUGACAGAGCGUGUGUGAAAUAGCACUCUGAAAUAGCCUCGCUGUCCACAGGGUAGGAGGAAAGCCAUUGGCAAGAGAGUGUGAACAAACUCACUUCUCUGAGUACACUAUACCAGAAACACAGACUUGCUUAUGUCUCCUUACAGGUCAGAAUUUAUUGAGCAUACAGUGUUUUGAAAUAUUGAGCAAUUCCCCGAGACCACACAGCAUGUCGGGCAUGACGCAGAUGAGGGUUUGAACCUCCGUUUAUCCAGUGCUCGGUUCGUGGGGACUGCUGAGACACCUCAGUUGGUGGACUGGGCAACCGUUGGCUUCCGGGUACUCGGUGCGAGACAGUCCUUGUUGGACCAGGCCACAUCAUCUUGCAUGCUGAUGUAAUAAAUCCCCUUUUAGUACACGUCCUAUGGCUUGUGUUCCCUUAAAGAAGCCCGAGUAACACAGGUUGCCCAUGGCAAAGGGCAAUGAAGCUACAGGUGGAGUUAAGGACACUUGCUGGCCGACUCAGAGGCAGGGAUCUGUGCGGGCCGGGUGUGAGGGGGAGGCAUAGGGUCUGGAGGUGUUAUGCUGCUGGCUUUAAAAGCAGAGGAAGAAGUGAGAGCCGAUGAACGCUGGUGUCUUCCACCGCCCAGGGAGGGUGGCCACACAGGUGCAGGCCUCCGGACAGCGGGCAGCCCUGCUGCAUCUGAUAUUAGCCCAUGAGGCAGAUUCUGGGUGUUGACCUCUAGACCUGUGCGAUAGUCAUUUUAUGCUGUUUCAGGUCACUGCAUUUGUGGUAAGUGGCUCCAGCUUGCCGUGUUGGAGACUUAAGCUCCACACUCAUUAACUAGUCCACCUAUGAGCCUCAUGGUUGCUGGCAGGAGGCACGAGGCCAGAGCCAACAACCGCAGCGAGGAGUCAGCAUUUCAUCCAGGCUGAGCCAUUCUCUCAGAGCGGUGCGGAAAAGCCGUGUGACAUCUGCAGCACGGUGGAUUAUGUCACAGGAAAGGGAUCUGGAGGUAUGCUGGGGCACACCCUCACUGCCAACCAAAGAACAGUCUGUCUUCCGCCCUGGUGGGAGACGGCAUCUCUUCCAGGACCUGCUGCUGGAUGAACUCUGUCAAGCAGGGAACCCACACGCUGCUCACUAAGGCUGUCACAAAAUCAGGCCUGUUGUUGUGUAGAUGUGGAAACUUCUAACCACGAGGGGAGCUGGGAAAUGCCAUUCUUGUUUUCAGCUGGGCUCGUUGUCCACGGUCUUAUUUUAUUUUUCAGCAGCUGCAAUAGUGGCAAUAUUGGAGGCAACCGAGCAAUAGCCUAUGGUGUAGAGCCUUGGCUCACCGCAUGUUCGGGAGAUUAUUUAGGGUGUCUCUCCAAAGAAACAGCAAGACAGUUACAGACAGCCACAGCUCAGCCUUCUACUGGUUAAGGCAAAAAACCUGUGCGAAGGGCUUAUGCAACCGUGGAAUUUCAGCAACUCCGUGGAGCCCCAGGGUGUCGGGGCGUGGAGGAGCCAGCCCUGUGACAGCUCCUGCUGCGGCUCGUGUACUCUUGUUAUUCAAGUUUCUGAAGCAGUGCCAGAACUUUCUCAGCUGGUCCUAUCCUUGGAAAACCGUGGAAAUCCCCCGCUGUUCCCCAGCCAAGUGCUGGGCUCCUCUUCUCUGAGAGGGAAGUUGCUGUUGGGAUGGCAAGUCCCAGCCUGGAGCCCUCCCAAAGAGAGGCAAAAACGACCCCUCAGAUGAGCUUCUGCUGUCCCCUCAUUCGGUAUGGGGCCCUCCAUUUUCCUCUACUAGGCUGUUUUUUUCUGUGCUGUUUCAGCUGAUUCUUUAGCAAGUGGCACUUCCUGUUCUUUGUGGGUCACCAACACUGGCUUUUCCUGAGAGGAAUGAGCCAUUUUCUUGGUAGAAGAAAAUAGCUUGACCUCAUUAAUAUAGAACAUAAGUGACUGAAAGUCCGAUUAUAAUCACAUUCUUUCAGCUGUUUGUUUGGUUUGGUUUGGUUUUGGGACAGGGUCUCAUGCAGCAGAGGCUGCUUCAAACUCAUCUUCCUGUCUUCAUCUCCCAAAUGCUGGCAUUCUGUGUGUGAGCUACCAUACCCUGCCGAGUGAGGACUUUCAAUGAUGUAGGUCCAUACAAUUCAUUUGUUCUCCCCACAUCCCCCAAGUAUUAGCUGUUGAUGGAGUCUGUUUCCUCAAGAGUGAAAUGAUGGGAGAGUCCUGGUUCACUGUUCAGUCUGCAGCAUAGAUGCCUCAGUGAAAGAACAGCAGAAACCUGACUGCAGAGGGAGGAGAGGAAGAGAGAGGAAGGGAGGGAUUGAAGAGGGGAGGAAGAGAGGAAGGAUGGGGAAGGAGGGGGAGGAGAUCAUUUGGUUAUUUCCUGAUAUUUUCCUGGCAAUCAGUUCAUAUUCUUUACAGUCUUAGAAACAAAUGCUUUUUAGUGAAUAUGGGUCAAAAUUUGAUCUGUUAGUUUUUUUCCUAUCGUUUUUAUCCUUUGCCAACAUGGCUUUGGAGCUCUGCAGUUCCAUGAGUCUAGGUGUUCGUCUGCCAGGUGACUUAAAACUCCUGUUGUUAGCUCAUUCAGCCCAUAAUGAUCCACUCUCUGCCCUCCUACUUAUUAUUAUUAUUAUUAUUAUUAUUAUUAUUAUUAUUAUUCUACCUUGUGUUUCUGUAUGCCUAUGGGCAAGCAGCUUUGUUUUUCCACUCUGUUUUCCAUAAAAUUAGCAUAUUAUUUAGCUGUUCUGAACAGUCUAACUUGCAACUAGCCCUUACAAACACCAGGCACCUGCGUACACUUCCUUCAUCCUUUUCACAGCCGUGAUGACUUGAUCCAGAGUUCACAGCUAGAAAGAUAGCUCAGAGGCUGUAUUUCAGUGCCCUUUAAGGGGCAAGACACUUUCCCCAUUCCCUCUGGAAUAUUAUGUUUCAUAGUAGAGUCAUAGCGCCCAAAGGAAGCGUAGGUGGAACUCUGCCCUUUUGCUCCCAGGACAUGCUCAGGGCUGAUGAAAUGGAAUUGUUGAGAAUUGCUACACGUAGCAAAUUCUGGUAUCUGUUCAAAGCAGAGGCUGUUGAAUCUGGAAAUAGAAGACUAAAAUGUAAACAGAGGAAGGAAUUGCAGGAUACCCUUUUUCCCCCCAGGACAAAUGUCCUCAUCAUUUUUAUCCUGAUUUUUCAACAAUUUGACUAGACUGAGUAGAUGAACCACAAACUAGAGGUGAAACUAGUUUAAAUUGUAAAGCCUUUCUUGAAAACACUGGCUAACCUUGAGCCCUGUGCUGUGUACAAGAAUGAUUCCCAUUUCCCAGAUGUGAAAACCGAGUCUUAUAAUCUAUUCAGUCACAUAGCCAGUAGGUGGAACCAUCAGGAUUUGAGCUCAAGUCUGCCUGACAGUGCUUACCCUUGUGAGUCAUGCUACACUGUCCCAACAGUGCUGUGGAGGUUUGGUAAAUGGGGUGUGGGGUGGGGUGUGUGCUUUAUUCUUGGACCCAGUAGUCAGCUGACACGGCUCUGGAUUGGAGCACAUGGGCCUCUACUGAAGGCUGCCCAGCAUCUAGGAGAUGACUUAGAGCGGUGCUUAGCUUUUGCAGGAUAUUUGAUCACACUGUGAACCCCAAGAUUGUAUACUGGAAAAACCUGUUUCUAGUUGUGGUGUGGUUCAGCCCUAGCACACACCUUUAAUCCAAGAGCUUUCUGUAAACGGGAUUAAACAAAGUCAAUGCUACAUCAAGAGGCAGAGCAAGCAGCCAGUUGACAGGGAGUGAACAUGACGCAGGAAGGAGGGACAUGGAGUUGAAGGGUAUUUAAGAAAGCACGGAGAAGGAGAAGGGCUUUUUCCCCCCGACAUUGGUGGAGGAGGAAGGUCAGUGGGGUGCUUUCUCUGCCUCUCUGAGCCAGCAGGUUUUCACCCCAGUAUCUGGCUCCUGAGUCUUCAUUGGUAUGAUUAGGAAUUUGUUUUAAAAGCAACAUUUAGCUGUAAGUACUUUAGAGACAAAGUAAAGGGCAUACAUUUUAGAUCUGCAAUGAAAACUUACAACCUGCAGGGCAAGGAUGGUGAUGAUGAUGAUGAUGUUGAUGAUAGGGAUGCUGCUGCUGCUGCUGCUGAUGAUGAUGAAAUGAUGAUAACUUACCAAUACUGAGUUUCUUCUGUACACCCAGGAUUUUGGUUGACCAUAUUAUAUAUAACUUGAUUUAGGCAGGGAGAAAACUCAUCUGUUGCUGGAGUGAAAGCUCAUACUGGAGCCAUUAUUUAAUUAUCAUUGACCUUCAUCUGAGACCUAAAAUAAUAAAUGGCAUUGUUUCAG